CCUUUCUCUAUAGCCCCUUCUAUCUUUCUAUAACUUUCAAUUCAAAUAUGACAUACGUGACGCCCCAACUUUCCAGGGGUCACUCAUCCUAGGAUUACUCCCGUCCUAACAAAUUUAACUCUCUUAACCUCUUGGGCCUAGCUACCAUCCAAAUGUUUAAAGCUGGUUAAGAGUUUUAGCCUAUUAUAUCUUAUAUAUAGGAUUAACUAAGGUCUCACAUUCUCUUCUCUUAAGCCCUGACGUCCUUGUCAAGCUCAGACUUACAAAUAUCAGACGAUGUGAGACUCGUCUUGCUAGCCUAAACCGACCUUGUGGUGAACUGCGCUUCACCCACAAUAGUCAACAGCAUGAGAACCUCGCUCUCGCCAUUGUAUAAUCCUAGCUCAGCUAAGACUCAUCUUACACUUCUGGCUAGUAAUUGGGUCUGAUACCGAUUGUGACACCCCAACUUUCUAGAGGAUCACCCAUCAUAGGACUGCUCCCAUCCUAACGCACUUAACUCUUUUAACCUCUUGGGCCGAACCACCACCCAAAAUGCUUAAGCAGGGUUAAGAGUUUUAACCAUAUUACAUCUUAUAUAUAGGACUACCUGGAGUCUCACAACAUAACUAUAAUCAAGGUGAUAUCCGUCAGGCAGUUACACAUUGUUCCCUUUAAUUGCUCUUGGAAAUAAUCCCCUUUUUCAAAUUCGUCGGCAUCUACUCUUUGAAUUUCAAAUAUCUAAACUUACUUUCUUGAGCUUAGCUGAAGCCUUUGGCCUUUGGCAUUCUUCGUCUCAUCGAAGCCAAACACAUCCGCCACCCUCUGAAUGAUUGACAACAAGCAAAUCAUCGAUUCGAUUUCCAAUGCAUUAGAUUUUUCGACAUUUCGACAUGACACCUUGCAUUAUAGCCAUGUACAUUUGGCUUGGUAGUCUAUCGCAGCAUCUUUUAUGGGAAAGCCUCUACCUCUCGAGACAGCUCAUAUUCUAAGAACACUUGCAGUCCUUACUCUGUGUGUCACGCCCCGGGCACGAUACCAAUUUGGGCCGGGCCGGGCACGUCGAACAGACGCCGAACGGACAGAGUUUUUCCUGUCCGCCUAAGGCUCAACACGUGUACAAUUCAAGCAAAGAGAGUGUACAAGCGGAAACAUAUAUAAUGGCUUACACGAGGGUAAGCAACAGCCAAGAGUGAAAGAAUGGAAGUUAAACAUCUACACAAGUACUAUGAUUCAUUUUUGAUCACAUACAUUGCAUUCACGAUUCUUUUACAUAUACAUGCUUUUCAUUAUUUCUUUUUACAUCACAUCGUCUUCUCAAAAUAGAAAGUUUACACUCUUUUCUUUAACAUCUCUAAUCAUCAAAUACAAAAAAUGAUGUAAGGGUAUGCUACUAGCAAAAGUAUAAAACCCGACUUGGGUAGCCUCUGUCUACGGCGCGAUACCUUUACCGCGGUCGCUCGCCAGCUCGCUCGGUCCCGGC
rnacentral:lncRNA from 1 species